GCCGGCUAGAGUGACGCUGAGGAGACGCGGCGCCGGGGGAGCGCCGCACUGGUGGGCGCGCAGCGAUGACGUACGACGCCCCAGCCCGGCGUCGGUUAGCUUGGCCGAGCGAGGCACCCACCAUGACUCUGCAGGGCGCUGCGCUGCAGAACUACAACAACGAGCUGGUCAUGUACAUCGAGGAGCUGUGUCAGAAGCGGGGGGAGCUGUACCAGCAGAUCCAGCAGGAGGAGGAGGAGAAGGAGCGGCUGCAGGGCGAGGUGAGGCAGCUGACGGAGAAGCUGACCUGCGUCGACGAGAGCCUGCAGCUCAAGAUCGCCUCUCUGAACGACCUUGACCGCACCAUCGCGGAGACCGAGGCCGCCUACCUCAAGAUCCUGGAGAGCUCGCAGACGCUGCUUAACGUCCUGAAGAGAGAGGCCGGGAACCUGGCCAAGGCCACAGCUUCAGAGCAGAAGAGCAGUGGAGGCAAGGAGAGCUGACGCAGCUCGGUGGGCUGGGCCAGGCCGCCGCAGGCGCCGUCUCUGCUGUGCUGUGAUGACUCAGCCCACUGCACGUCUGUCUUGAAGCAUCUUUAUUCUUCGUGGUGCCGAUGCCCAGGCCGCAGCUGCGUCUCCACUGCCCUUCGGUGAUGAGCGCUUGGCGCAGCCGAUGGGAUGAAGACAUGUUUGCAUUUGACACCUGAGUAUGUUUUGCCAUUGGACCGCAGACCACUCCACCUCUGCACUGUGGCUGCCCAGGCAGCUGAGAGCGUAUCUCCUGGGGAGCACACCAGGCAGGCCUCAUGGGCCAGCUGCUGCCACAGCCUUACUGUAAACUUAGGGGUCAGAGGCUUCCAAGCCAAAUGAGGCAGGAGCUACAAGACCACCCCCUGCUCCUAUGCAGCACCCCCUCUGCCCUACCCAGGCAGUGGGCCUGCAGGGAAGCUUCAAGCCCAGCAGCCACACCCUUGUGGUGCGUAGCUAACUGGUGGUCAGCUUCUUACACCCAGCUGACCUGACCUAGUGUGCGGAGUGUGGGAGGCCCACCU